GGUUCCGGUGCCGUCGGUGCCCUUCCGAGCAAGAACCCCGGGGGAAAAGCACCCACCAAGCCCCACCCCUCCGCCCGAGGCACGCGAUCACUCACGCGGGUGAACAUCACCGCCUCUGCUGGAUCUCCGAGCCCUCGACUCCCCUACGCUCAGCGCACACACUCCCCGCCGCCGUACGCCGCGCCCUGACCGCCGACCUG
rnacentral:ncRNA from 1 species